rnacentral:lncRNA from 1 species
UCUCUUUCAGACUUUGAUUCACAUCAUUGAUUUUUGACAAAUAGAAUCAUCUAGCAAAUGCAUAUUUUUUAGACUUAUCAUGUGAAAAAUAUUCCCUUUGAGAAAUAGAUUUGAUGAUUCUUAUAAAAGGAAGAUAUUUUUAUGUGCAAGGAUUUGAUUCACAUAAAUAUCCUGAUCCUUGUAAAGCAUGCCUUAAUAUCCUAUCGAUUUGAACUACACAAAUGGCCUUCCUCCUUCAUGCAAAAAGAUAAUAACAAAUAAAAAGGAAGAAGUUUUCACUCUAU